GGAUUCCCCUAGUAGCGGCGAGCGAAGCGGGAAGAGCUCAAAUUUGUAAUCUGGCACCUUCGGUGUCCGAGUUGUAAUCUCGAGAAGUGUUUUCCGCGCUAGACCGCAUGUAAGUCUGUUGGAAUACAGCGUCAUAGGUGGUGACAACCCCGUACGUAAUGCGGAUGCCUAGUGCUUUGUGAUACACUUUCGAAGAGUCGAGUUGUUUGGGAAUGCAGCUCAAAUUGGGUGGUAAAUUCCAUCUAAAGCUAAAUAUUGGCGAGAGACCGAUAGCGAACAAGUACCGUGAGGGAAAGAUGAAAAGCACUUUGGAAAGAGAGUUAAAAGUACGUGAAAUUGUUGAAAGGGAAACGCUUGAAGUCAGACUUGCGUAUUGGAGUUCAGCCGCAAGGUGUAUUCUUCAGUUUGCAGGCCAGCAUCAGUUUUCGGGGGUACAAAAGGGUAAGGGGAAGGUGGCAGCUUCGGCUGUGUUAUAGCCUCUUACUGGAUGUAUCCUUGGGGACUGAGGACUGCAGCGCACUUUUUGCAAGUCCCUCGGGACUUUCUGCGCUUAGGAUGCUGGUGGAAUGGCUUUAAACGACCCGUCUUGAAACACGGACCAAGGAGUCUAACAUGCUUGCGAGUAUUUGGGUGUCAAAACCCGGAUGCGUAAUGAAAGUGAAUGGAGGUGGGAACCGCAAGGUGCACCAUCGACCGAUCCGGAAUUUUCUAUGAUGGAUUUGAGUAAGAGCACG
rnacentral:rRNA from 1 species